rnacentral:rRNA from 1 species
UAUGUGAUCGUCUCUCGCAUAUCAAUAAGCGGAGGAAAAGAAAAUAACAAUGAUUUCCCUAGUAACGGCGAGUGAAGAGGAAAGAGCUCAAAGUUGGAAACUGUUUGGCUUAGCUAAGCCGUAUUGUAAACUGUAGAAACAUUUUCCUGGCACGCCGGAUUAAUAAGUCCUUUGGAACAAGGCAUCAUGGAGGGUGAGAAUCCCGUCUUUGAUCCGAGUAGUUGUCUUUUGUGAUAUGUUUUCAAAGAGUCAGGUUGUUUGGGAAUGCAGCCUAAAUUGGGUGGUAAAUUUCAUCUAAAGCUAAAUAUUGCGAGAGACCGAUAGCGAACAAGUACCGUGAGGGAAAGAUGAAAAGAACUUUGAAAAGAGAGUUAAACAGUACGUGAAAUUGUCAAAAGGGAAGCGUUUGACACCAGUGUUGUUUUUCUGAAAAUCAAUUAAAGAACUGUUUAUGCUAAGUUGUUUAGACUUUAUCAGCUAACUGUUUAGUUUUGAGCUUUUCUUUAAUGCACUUUUCAGUUAACAAGUCAACAUCAAUUUCUUUUGCUGUAAAAAGCUUGAGGAAGGUGGCUUGAGAUUCGUCUUAAGUGUUUAUAGCCUCUUGCCUAUGCAGUCGGAGAGAUUGAGGUCUGCAGCGUAGAUCCUUCGGGGCUAAAUGCAUUUGUGCUAAGUUAUAGCAUUUUAUAGACAACUUGUUGACUAUGAUUUGUCUUGUAGCUUACUCGCUUAUGUUAUUUUACCUACGCUUAGGAUGUUGAAGUCAUCGUAUCGCGC